AUAUGGUUGGAAAAGCAAACAAGCAGUCUAAGGGCAUUUUCAGACCUGUAGAUCAUUGCAUUUUCUUCUUGGUUCAGUUCGCUUUCACAAGGAAACAUUUCAAAAAGGACCAAAACUAUGUCAAUAAAAGUCACAUGUGUAACGAAUGAGGCUGGUAUCCCUUCAGCCGACCGCCAGAGGAAGCCCUCUCCCGAAUGCUGACACUGAACUGUUUUCUUCUAUGGUGACUUCCUGUUUGAACCAUAUAAAUAGCCAUGCUUUUCUAUUGUGACUUUGUGAAGUAUUGGCAGUUUCACUGCCUUACCAAGCGUUAUUCUCAUUGCCUGUUUCAUUGCCUACCUGUUAUGACCAUUGUGCCUGUUUUUCUGGAUUACUGAUUUUGGAUUACUGUUUGCCUGGUUGGACUGAUUACCUGUUAACAACUACUUUGCCUGCUUCAAUGAUUACGUCUCUGCCUUGUGUUUUGUAUUUGUAUGCUGAUUGUAAAUAAACUUCCUGCAUUUGGAUUCUACAUUCACCUCCAUGUCGAGUCCCUCACAACAUGUGAGCAAGCUGUCUCCUUAUUGGUCACUGUUUGUUUGCUGCUCCAGGAUUAAGCUCAUCCACUGAUAUACCGGUCGAUUUCUCUUGAUUUGUGAAACAUUCUCAGCAGUUUGUGUGUGUGACGUUAAAAUACGGGACAAACGGCAUCGUCUAUGGAUUUCAUAAGGAACGCAAUAGAUGUAACAUGCAAUGCGUCAAUCUCCAUCUAGUGGCGCAGAUCAUCAUCACAUUUCUCAGAGCUGUAAUCCUGCGCUCCUCUUCCUCCUUCAGGAACUGAUGAAGCUUCUCAAACUCCUCUUUCAUCUGUGUGUCCAUCUGCAGAGCCUCAGACUACAGCAGGGAUCACUUAUUGAGACUCAAAAAGUCAUACACAUCUGAGAUGGCAUGAGGUCGUGCAGUGCGUCUUGAAUGCGAUAAAUUCUGUGUCCUUCGUGUGUGUCUGAUUCUUCACACUCACUGCAGACUGGACUCAGAUCAUCCAGACAGAACAGGGAGAAACUCUGGCCGUGAUGCCCACAGACG